rnacentral:rRNA from 1 species
CGCCGCGUGAGCGAUGAAGCCCUUCGGGGUGUAAAGCUCUUUCGACGGGAAAGAUUAUGACGGUACCCGGAGAAGAAGCUGCGGCUAACUACGUGC